CUGGAGGUAUCAGAAGUGCGAAUGCUGACAUAAGUAACGAUAAAGCGGGUGAAAAGCCCGCUCGCCGGAAGACCAAGGGUUCCUGUCCAACGUUAAUCGGGGCAGGGUGAGUCGACCCCUAAGGCGAGGCCGAAAGGCGUAGUCGAUGGGAAACGGGUUAAUAUUCCCGUACUUGGUGUUACUGCGAAGGGGGGACGGAGAAGGCUAUGUUGGCCGGGCGACGGUUGUCCCGGUUUAAGCGUGUAGGUGUGUGUUCCAGGUAAAUCCGGUUCACUUUAACACUGAGGCGUGAUGACGAGGCACUACGGUGCUGAAGCAACAAAUGCCCUGCUUCCAGGAAAAGCCUCUAAGCAUCAGGUAACAUCAAAUCGUACCCCAAACCGACACAGGUGGUCAGGUAGAGAAUACCAAGGCGCUUGAGAGAACUCGGGUGAAGGAACUAGGCAAAAUGGUGCCGUAACUUCGGGAGAAGGCACGCUGACACG
rnacentral:rRNA from 1 species